rnacentral:other from 1 species
UUGUCCCUGCAGUGUGCGUUAGGACUGCGAUGUAUUGAACCACAAAACAAUACAAUGGGGGCUGGUCACCUGCGUUUCGCCUUGGCGGACCCAUACCGGCCACCCACCUUGAGAACGAUGGUUCUCAUUACACCAGUCCGACGGCAUAGCGGGGACAUU